UAUGUGAUCGUCUCUCGCAUAUCAAUAAGCGGAGGAAAAGAAACUAACAAGGAUUCCCCUAGUAACGGCGAGUGAAGCGGGAAGAGCUCAAAUUUGAAAUCUUAAAGGGUUUCCCUUUACGAAUUGUAGUUUAAAGAAGUGUUUUCUGUUGAGGUUUUGGUAAAAGUUCUUUGGAAUAGGACAUCAUAGAGGGUGAGAAUCCCGUAUUUGACCUUUACUUUCAACUUUGUGAUACACUUUCAAAGAGUCGGAUUGUUUGGGAAUGCAGUCCAAAAUGGGUGGUAAACUUCAUCUAAAGCUAAAUAUUGGCGAGAGACCGAUAGCGAACAAGUACCGUGAGGGAAAGAUGAAAAGAACUUUGAAAAGAGAGGUUAAACAGUACGUGAAAUUGUCAAAAGGGAAGCGUUUGACACCAGUGUUGUUUUUCUGAAAAUCAAUUAAAGAACUGUUUAUGCUAAGUUGUUUAGACUUUAUCAGCUAUCUGUUUAGUUUUGAGCUUUUCUUUAAUGCACUUUUCAGUUAACAAGUCAACAUCAAUUUCUUUUGCUGUAAAAAAGCUUGAGGAAGGUGGCUUGAGAUUCGUCUUAAGUGUUUAUAGCCUCUUGCCUAUGCAGUCGGAGAGAUUGAGGUCUGCAGCGUAGAUCCUUCGGGGCUAAAUGCAUUUGUGCUAAGUUAUAACAUUUUAUAGACAACUUGUUGACUAUGAUUUGUCUUGUAGCUUACUCGCUUAUGUUAUUUUACCUACGCUUAGGAUGUUGAUCUACAGAGCGAGAGU
rnacentral:rRNA from 1 species